GCCGUUGGCUCCGCGGAGUUAGCUGCUGAGGGGCGUUUGGAACCCGGUGCAACUUAGCUACUUUGGACCAGACCGGAACUAGGGAAGGACUAGGUUACCUCACUAAGAGGAAAGAAUGGUUUCUGAACAUCCAAAAGUCAAGAUCAAAGUGCUUUGGGAUUUUUUCUUUCUUCCCUGAAAUCUUUGUUUUUCAAGGGGACACGGGUUCGAGCCCUGGUCUGGGAAGAUCCCACAUGCCGCGGAGCAACUAAGUCCAUGUGCCACAACUACUGAGCCUGCACUCUAGAGCCUGCAAGCCACAACUACUGAAGCCCGCAUGCCUAGAGCCCGUGCUCCGCAACAAGAGAAGCCAACGCAGUGAGAAGGCUGCGCACCGCAACGAAGAGUAGCCCCCACUCGCUGCAACUAGAGAAAGCCUGCGCACAGCAACGAAGACCCCA